GAGCCCAGAUCAGGACAGACUGGACUCCUUGCAGCGGCUGCUUGAUCCGGACCUUCAGGACCCACAUGUGAGCAGAGAGACGUUCCACUCUGUCAUGAGGGAGUGGAUCACUCAGUGCAGUCAGGACAGGUGAGGCUGGUUUCAGAAGACAGAAGAUGUUUAAGUGUUUUUGUUUGUUUGUUUGUUUUAUGAGCAACCACUGAGUGUUUCUCACUGCCUCUCAUCCAUCAGCUCUGAUGCAAAUGACUGUCAUGUUUCUUGGCCGUCCUCCUCUGAAAUAUCCAUAAAUGGACUUGCGCUGUCAUUUUCUGAAACCAGAGCAGACUUCCCAGAGAUCCAGAGUUCCUGGGCUGGACAGGACGUGUCAGACACAGUAGCUGAACUGAAGAAUGCUCACCACAAGUUGAGCGAGCAGAACCGCAGCCUAUUGGUGAUUCUGGAACAGAGUGAAGAUGUAAACCUGCAGCUCAGUCUGGAGAUAACGGAGCUACAAGCAAAGCUGGCCAGGUGAAGGAGCGGUUCCUGUAUUCUCUUCAUGUUCAGAAUCUCCACAAAAUAAAUGAAUUACAAUGAUUUAUUUUAUUAUUUAAAUUCACAGAUGACACAAUAUAGAAUAAAGAAUGUGA